CCCGCUGAAUUUAAGCAUAUUAGUCAGCAGAGGAAAAGAAACUAACAAGGAUUCCCUCAGUAAUGGCAAGUGACCAGGGAAGACCCCAGCGCCGAAUCCCCGCCCCGCGGUGGGGGCGGGAAAUGUGGCGUACGGAAGACUCACUCCCCGGCACUGCUCGUGGGUGGCCCAAGUCCUUCUGAUAGAGGCCCAGCCCAUGGAUGGUGCCAGGCCAGUAGCACCCCAGCGCGCUGGGUCUGGGUCUUCGCAGAGUCGGGUUGCUUGAGAAUGCAGCCCAAAGUGUGUGGUAAACUCCAUCUAAGGCUAAAUACCUACAUGAGACUGAUAGUCCACAUGUACCUAAAAGAACUUUGAAGAGAGAGUUCAAGAGGGUGUGAAACCCUUAAGAGGUAAAUGGGUGAGGUCAGCGCAGUCUACCUGGAGGAG
rnacentral:ncRNA from 1 species